rnacentral:rRNA from 1 species
UGGGGAAUAUUGCACAAUGGGGGAAACCCUGAUGCAGCAACGCCGCGUGAGUGAUGAAGGCCUUCGGGUUGUAAAGCUCUGUCUUUGGGGACGAUAAUGACGGUACCCAAGGAGGAAGCCACGGCUAACUACGUGCCAGCAGCCGCGGUAAUACGUAGGGAGCAAGCGUGGUUCGGAUUUACUGGGCGUAAAGGGCGCGUAGGCGGCGCGGUAAGUCACUUGUGAAAUCUCUGAGCUUAACUCAGAACGGCCAAGUGAUACUGCUGUGCUAGAGUGCGGAAGAGGCAACCGGAAUUCUUGGUGUAGCGGUGAAAUGCGUAGAUAUCAAGAGGAACACCUGAGGCGAAGGCGGGUUGCUGGGCCGACACUGACGCUUAUGCGCGAAAGCCAGGG